AACAUGGCGUACUGCUCAGUAACACGUGGAUAACCUGCCCUUAGGACUGGCAUAACCCCGGGAAACUGGGGAUAAUUCCGGAUAGUUCAUGGUAGCUGGAAUGCUCCAUGAUCGAAAGCUAUUGCGCCUAAGGAUGGGUCUGCGGUCUAUCAGGUAGUAGUGGGUGUAAUGUACCUACUAGCCGACGACGGAUACGGGUUGUGGGAGCAAGAGCCCGGAGAUGGAUUCUGAGACAUGAAUCCAGGCCCUACGGGGCGCAGCAGGCGCGAAAACUUUACAAUGCGGGAAACCGCGAUAAGGGGACACCGAGUGCCAGCAUCUUAUGUUGGCUGUCCGCAUGUAUAAAUCACAUGUGUUAGCAAGGGCCGGGCAAGACCGGUGCCAGCCGCCGCGGUAACACCGGCGGCCCGAGUGGUGGCCACUAUUAUUGGGUCUAAAGGGUCCGUAGCCGGUUUGGUCAGUCUUCCGGGAAAUCUGACGGCUUAACCGUUAGGCUUUCGGGGGAUACUACCAGGCUUGGGACCGGGAGAGGUAAGAGGUACUACGGGGGUAGGAGUGAAAUCUUGUAAUCCUCGUGGGACCACCAGUGGCGAAGGCGUCUUACCAGAACGGGUCCGACGGUGAGGGACGAAAGCUGGGGGCACGAACCGGAUUAGAUACCCGGGUAGUCCCAGCCGUAAACUAUGCUCGCUAGGUGUCAGGGACGGUGCGACCGUUUCUGGUGCCGCAGGGAAGCCGUGAAGCGAGCCACCUGGGAAGUACGGUCGCAAGGCUGAAACUUAAAGGAAUUGGCGGGAAUC
rnacentral:rRNA from 1 species